rnacentral:rRNA from 1 species
CGGACCUGCCCAGUGAAAUUUUUAACGGCCGCGGUACUCUGACCGUGCAAAGGUAGCAUAAUCAUUUGCCUUAUAAUUGAAGGCUUGUAUGAAUGGUUUGACAAGAAUGAAGCUGUCUCUCUAUAAUUAGCUAAAAUUUUAUUUAUAGGUGAAGAAGCCUAUAUUACAUUGAAAGACAAGAAGACCCUAUCGAGCUUUAAAAAAAUUAAUAAAUUUAAAUAUUUAAUACAGGUUAUAAAAUUUAUUAUUAAACAUUUUAGUUGGGGCGACUAAGGAACAAAUAAAGCUUCUUUUUGUUCUAAAAACAUACAAGUAAUGAUCCAAAAGUUUUGAUUAAAGAAAUUAGUUACCGUAGGGAUAACAGCAUUAUCUUUUUUGAGAGCUCUAAUCGAAAAAAAGGUUUGUGACCUCGAUGUUGGACCAGAAUAUCCUAAAGAUGCAGCUGUCUUUAAGGGUUGGUCUGUUCGACCAUUAAAAUUCUACGUGAUCUGAGUUCAGACCGGCGUGAGCCAGGUCAGUUUCUAUCUUCAAUUUUUAUAGUAAACUUAGUACGAAAGGACCAGCUUGCUACAAGGUAUUUGUUUAUAUUUGAUAAAAUAUAAAAGAAAAUUAAAUUAAUAAUAAUUCAUAAUAAAUCAAAUUAGCAAAGAUUAAUGCAAUUGAUUUAGGAUCAAUAGACAUAGGUGAAAUUCCUUUAUUUGAUAGCUUUUAUAAAGAUGGCAGA